CAUUUCGACGAUAGCAGUCUGGUCCCGUUAUCGACUGAGAGCAACGUGGGAGCACGGAUAUAAUCCUGAUAGUCCACGCUGUAACCGAUGAUGCUAGAUGGGCCUGUCACGUUUCGUGUCAGAGAUUACGUGAUACGCAUCCCGCUGGAGGAGUACGCCACAGGCUAAAUCUCAAAAGAUAGUCGACGGGGCCCGCACAGCGCGAGCAUGCAGUAUAAUUAGAUGCACGAGAGAUUUUUACGUGGUCUCGACAUGUUCCCGAUGAUCCCAGAUGAUGGGGGUCUCUCUCGGGGCGUGCUUCAGCAGGUGCAUCAUGGUCGUCGUCAGCGUCGUCGUCGAUGAGAUGUGGGAUUUAGUCGCAGCAACGAGCACCACUCUUCGCCGCCGUUGUUACCAGCGUAUUAUGCGGGAUCUUCACGGGGGACCGCGGUGUUAAUUAGGAGGAAGGUGGGGAUGUCGUAUCAUCAUCAUCCCCAUGUCGUCCGGGUCUUCCACCAUGCAACAAUGGCUGCAACAAGGGGAGGCACCGCGAGGAGGAGGGGAGGAUCCAUGAAAACUGUCAUCAGUUAGGACAGCAUUCUGCAAUUCGACGGGAAGAAGGAGUAGUUAUUAGUAAUGAAUAAUCAGCAUCGUGGCGAAGAAGUUGUUCCGGGCCGUUCACCCCACCGCCCAACAAUUCAAAAAAGGGGGCACCACCAGAAGCCGGUGUCUUACCCCCUGGGGGGGGGCAGCCUUAUAAGAGGAGCUUGAUGAUGGGGAAUAAGUAGCAACAAGGUAGCCGUACAGGAAGGGGCGGCUGCAUCUCCUCUUUUCUAAGAAGAAUACGGCAGGAUGUUCUUCCGGCGGGGGGUCCCCCGUCGUGGCGGCAGUGGCGGCGUUUGGGGGCUGGUGUGGAGGAGAAGAUCAGGGGUUUUCGGGUCUUCCGUGGGGGGAUGUUCGGGGGGAGUGGGGGGGAGCCGUUUUGGGCCUCCCGGAUCCCCCCCCCAGCCUUCGGCCUGGCGCGAUUCGAUGCCCAUCGUGCAUGAUGGCGGGCUGGUCCCGUCCGGACGGCGUGGUGGUGCGUGGUGGCUUGAGAACUGGAUAGUGGACGCGAGCAAGACGGGGUUUCCUUUGAUUCCUCGUUCUUGCUGUUGAUUUAGAAUCGAACUAUAUUUUUAGUGUUUGUUUCGAUCGUUUUGUGAUCAUUUUAGUGUGAUGAUUUGUCGUCUGGGAAUUUGCUAGGAAGGAUCCUUGCGGCCAUGCGCACCGUGUGUGCCA
rnacentral:misc_RNA from 1 species